rnacentral:rRNA from 1 species
GUUGUAAUUUAGAGAAGCGUCUUCCGCGCUGGACCAUGCACAAGUCUCCUGGAAUGGAGCGUCAUAGAGGGUGAGAAUCCCGUCUUUGGCAUGGAUGCACCAGGGCUUUUGUGAUGCGCUCUCGAAGAGUCGAGUUGUUUGGGAAUGCAGCUCAAAAUGGGUGGUGAACUCCAUCUAAAGCUAAAUAUUGGCGAGAGACCGAUAGCGAACAAGUACCGUGAGGGAAAGAUGAAAAGCACUUUGGAAAGAGAGUGAAACAGUACGUGAAAUUGUUGAAAGGGAAACGCUUGAAGUCAGUCGCGUCGGCCAAGACUCAGCCUUGCCUUGGCUUGGUGUACUUCUUGGCCGA